rnacentral:rRNA from 1 species
GAUGAACGCUGACAGAAUGCUUAACACAUGCAAGUCUACUUGAACUUCGGUUUGGGUGGCGGACGGGUGAGUAACGCGUAAAGAACUUGCCUCACAGUUAGGGACAACAUUUGGAAACGAAUGCUAAUACCUGAUAUUAUGAUUUUAGGGCAUCCUAAGAUUAUGAAAGCUAUAUGCACUGUGAGAGAGCUUUGCGUCCCAUUAGCUAGUUGGAGAGGUAACGGCUCACCAAGGCGAUGAUGGGUAGCCGGCCUGAGAGGGUGAACGGCCACAAGGGGACUGAGACACGGCCCUUACGCCUACGGGAGGCAGCAGUGGGGAAUAUUGGACAAUGGACCAAAAGUCUGAUCCAGCAAUUCUGUGUGCACGAUGACGUUUUUCGGAAUGUAAAGUGCUUUCAGUUGGGAAGAAAAAAAUGACGGUACCAACAGAAGAAGUGACGGCUAAAUACGUG